UGUUAAAAUAGUACACACGGCGCCGCGA
rnacentral:sRNA from 1 species